GGACUACUGGGGUAUCUAAUCCGGUUUGCUCCCCCAGCUUUCGUCCCUCACUGUCGAAGCCGUUCUGGUGAGGCGCCUUCGCCACAGGUGGUCCCUCGAGGAUUACAGGAUUUCACUCCUACCCCCGAAGUACCCCUCACCUCUCCCGGUCCCAAGAUUGCCAGUAUCCCUUAGACGCCUGACAGUUAAGCUGCCAGAUUUCCCAAGAGACUUAACAACCCAGCUACGAACGCUUUAAGCCCAAUAAAAGUGGCCACCACUCGAGCCGCCGGUAUUACCGCGGCGGCUGGCACCGGUCUUGCCCGGCCCUUUCUUCAGGUGUGUUUUAGACACCUGGACAGCCUGCAUAUACAGGCACUCGAGGUUCCCUUAUCACGGUUGCCCGCAUUGUAAAGUUUUCGCGCCUGCUGCACCCCGUAGG
rnacentral:rRNA from 1 species